rnacentral:tRNA from 1 species
GCCAAUUAGGUGUUAUCCGCACAUUGACUUUUCACGUCAAAAGAGCAUACCAAAUGCACUUGGCU